CCUACGGGUGGCAGCAGUAGGGAAUUUUGCGCAAUGGGCGAAAGCCUGACGCAGCAACGCCGCGUGAUCGAGACGCCCUUCGGGGUGUAAAGAUCUGUCAGUGGGGACGAAACUUGACGGUACCCACAGAGGAAGCACCGGCUAACUCCGUGCCAGCAGCCGCGGUAAUACGGGGGGUGCAAGCGUUGUCCGGAAUCAUUGGGCGUAAAGAGUUCGUAGGCGGCACGUAAAGUCUGGUGUUAAAGGCAGGGGCUCAACUUCUGUACGGCACUGGAUACUUGCGAGCUAGAAUGCGGUAGAGGUAAAGGGAAUUCCUGGUGUAGCGGUGAAAUGCGUAGAUAUCACGAAGAACUCCGAUUGCGAAGGCAGCUUACUAAACUGCCACUGACAUUGAUGCUCGAAAGUGUGGGUAUCAAACAGGAUUAGAUACCCGGGUAGUC
rnacentral:rRNA from 1 species